CGAACGCUGGCGGCAGGCCUAACACAUGCAAGUCGAGCGAGGUAGCGAUACCUAGCGGCGGACGGGUGAGUAACGCGUGGGAACGUGCCCCUUGGUACGGAAUAGCCCCGGGAAACUGGGAGUAAUACCGUAUGAGCUCUACGGAGGAAAGAUUUAUCGCCAAGGGAUCGGCCCGCGUUGGAUUAGGUAGUUGGUGGGGUAAUGGCCUACCAAGCCGACGAUCCAUAGCUGGUUUGAGAGGAUGAUCAGCCACACUGGGACUGAGACACGGCCCAGACUCCUACGGGAGGCAGCAGUGGGGAAUCUUAGACAAUGGGCGCAAGCCUGAUCUAGCCAUGCCGCGUGAGCGAUGAAGGCCUUAGGGUUGUAAAGCUCUUUCAGCUGGGAAGAUAAUGACUGUACCAGCAGAAGAAGCCCCGGCUAACUCUGUGCCAGCAG
rnacentral:rRNA from 1 species